rnacentral:rRNA from 1 species
AUGAACCUGAGCUCAAGCGAGAUUACCCGCUGAACUUUAAGACUAAAUACCCGACUCCCCCUUCCCCCCCGCCCACAACCAACACCCCCCACCCAACCUGGCGCGAAAACGCGGCGCAGCAUCGUUCCUGUGGGGUGUAUCUCAGAAUCCUCACACCCUGUGCCUGACUUGUCUCUUCACACCCCCCCCCACCCCCACCUCCCCAUCCCACCCCCCCACCACACACUAUCUUCACAAUCCAAAUAUCCCAUCACACACCACCACACACAAACACCUGUG